rnacentral:rRNA from 2 species
AGAGUAUCUUCGGAUACUUGAGAGCGGCGCACGGGUGCGGAACACGUGUGCAACCUGCCUUUAUCUGGGGGAUAGCCUUUCGAAAGGAAGAUUAAUACCCCAUAAUAUAUUUGAUGGCAUCAUUAGAUAUUGAAAACUCCGGUGGAUAGAGAUGGGCACGCGCAAGAUUAGUUAGUUGGUGAGGUAACGGCUCACCAAGGCGAUGAUCUUUAGGGGGCCUGAGAGGGUGAUCCCCCACACUGGUACUGAGACACGGACCAGACUCCUACGGGAGGCAGCAGUGAGGAAUAUUGGACAAUGGGUUAGCGCCUGAUCCAGCCAUCCCGCGUGAAGGACGACGGCCCUAUGGGUUGUAAACUUCUUUUGUAUAGGGAUAAACCUACUCUCGUGAGAGUAGCUGAAGGUACUAUACGAAUAAGCACCGGCUAACUCCGUGCCAGCAGCCGCGGUAAUACGGAGGGUGCAAGCGUUAUCCGGAU